ensembl:lncRNA LINC00710 long intergenic non-protein coding RNA 710
CCGGUUGCCAUUUUCUGACAUUUGAAAAGAUCUGAAGAUACGCCCCUUGGAUGCCUGCAGAGAAGCUCUGGGGCUUCAGUCAAUGACUCAGGGUAGCCACCGAACAUGAUGCUCGGGCAGUGGGUGCCACCUGGACUCCACUCUCCCCUCUCUCUGGGAUCAUAGAGUCCAAGGUGUUCUGUGGCCUCUCGGCCAAUCCCAGCAGCUCAGCGUGCAGAAGACCGAGGAGCCAUUGGAAAAGAAAAAGAGAACAUAUAUCCCCCUACCUUUUGAUUUCCAACAGUCUACUGAGAGGCCAAGAUUAUUUGCAGGGAAAGAAAAGGGGAAUGCCAUCCCCACCCUCUCGCAGCUACGUGCCAGUUCCAGAGCACCUGUUCCCCUCUACUUUGAAAAGGUCAAAAUGUUUUGCCAGUAACUCCCAAAUCAUCUACAGCCAAGGAGAAAAGUGUUUCAAGACAGAGGUGCUCAAUGGUAUCAAAUACUGCCAACAGACCAAGUAAUACAUGCAUUGAAGUGUCUACUGGAUCUAGCUAUAUGAUUCCACAGCUGUUUUAUAGUAACUCAGAGUUUGAAGAGAAAUUACUCCUGCAGUACCAGUUUCCAAAAUGCUUUGUAGCAUCUUCUCAAAAAACAAAUGGGAAGAAGCCAAUCAGAAAUAAGGAAUUUUUAAUUUAGGACACUUAGGCCAUACUGAAGCAAGGUGACAAAAUGAAUAGCUACAAUGUCUCGUGAAUCUUGGGUUUCCAUUCACCCUGGUAUUCAAGAGAAAUUCUUGCAUCAUGGAAGUUGCAGUUGGAUAGGACUUUCUCAGCUGAACACUGUCAUCUGCCAGAGCUUCAGGCAAGAACCCAGAACAGAUGAAACCCCAGACAUGACAAAAUAAGCCAAAGAAUACCAGGCCAAGGUGUGAAAGGCCAGAUGAGAACAAGCAGCGUACACGAUUCUGUUGCCAACAGAUCUCCCCUAACAGUGUCGUGCACCAAAUUUCCACAGUGAAUGUCAGGAAAAAAUGGCAAUUGAGGUGGGUGGUCAAAAGAGAAGCACAGUCUAUGAUGAAGUCACCCCAGAGAAGUCCUUUUUCCGUUUUCUCCUGAGAAAUUACCAGAAGAAAUUAAAAUCCUUUUGAGUAUUGCA